rnacentral:rRNA from 1 species
UACGUAGGGUGCAAGCGUUAAUCGGAAUUACUGGGCGUAAAGCGUGCGCAGGCGGUUUUGUAAGUCUGUCGUGAAAUCCCCGGGCUCAACCUGGGAAUUGCGAUGGAGACUGCAAGGCUAGAAUCUGGCAGAGGGGGGUAGAAUUCCACGUGUAGCAGUGAAAUGCGUGAGAGAUGUGGAGGAACACCGAUGGCGAAGGCAGCCCCCUGGGUCAAGAUUGACGCUCAUGGCACGAAAGGCGUGGGAGCAAACAGG